UACGGGGGGGGGCAAGCGUUGUUCGGAAUUACUGGGCGUAAAGGGCGCGUAGGCGGCCAUUCAAGUGACGGGUGAAAGCCCUCGGCUUAACCGAGGAACUGCCUGUCAGACUGGAUGGCUUGAGACCGGGAGAGGUGAGUGGAAUUCCCAGUGUAGCGGUGAAAUGCGUAGAUAUUGGGAGGAACACCAGUGGCGAAGGCGGCUCACUGGACCGGAACUGACGCUGAGACGCGAAGGCGUGGGGAGCGAACGG
rnacentral:rRNA from 1 species